rnacentral:rRNA from 1 species
GAUGAACGCUGGCGGUAUGCCUAACACAUGCAAGUCGUACGAGAGUUUUUAACUCUAGUGGCGGACGGGUGAGUAACACGUGAGAAUUUGCCUUUAGGAGGGGGAUAACAAUUGGAAACGAAUGCUAAUACCCCAUAUGCUUUUGAGUGAAAUGGAUUUUAUCCGCCUAGAGAGAAGCUCGCGGCUGAUUAGCUUGUUGGUAAGGUAAGAGCUUACCAAGGCGACGAUCAGUAUCUGGUUUGAGAGGACGAUCAGACACACUGGAACUGAGACACGGCCCAGACUCCUACGGGAGGCAGCAGUGGGGAAUUUUGGACAAUGGGCGAAAGCCUGAUCCAGCCAUGCCGCGUGCAGGAUGACGGUCCUAUGGAUUGUAAACUGCUUUUGUACAGGAAGAAACACUCCCUCGUGAGGGAGCUUGACGGUACUGUAAGAAUAAGGAUCGGCUAACUCCGUG